rnacentral:rRNA from 1 species
UACGUAGGUGGCAAGCGUUGUCCGGAUUUAUUGGGCGUAAAGGGAGCGCAGGCGGUGACUUAAGUCUGAUGUGAAAGCCCACGGCUCAACCGUGGAAGGUCAUUGGAAACUGGGUCACUUGAAUAUAGAAGAGGAAAGUGGAAUUCCAUGUGUAGCGGUGAAAUGCGUAGAUAUAUGGAGGAACACCAGUGGCGAAGGCGACUUUCUGGUCUAUUAUUGACGCUGAGGCUCGAAAGCAUGGGUAGCAAACAGGAUUAGAUACCCGGUA